rnacentral:rRNA from 1 species
CAGCAGCCGCGGUAAUACGUAGGUGGCAAGCGUUGUCCGGAAUUAUUGGGCGUAAAGGGCUCGCAGGCGGUUUCUUAAGUCUGAUGUGAAAGCCCCCGGCUCAACCGGGGAGGGUCAUUGGAAACUGGGAAACUUGAGUGCAGAAGAGGAGAGUGGAAUUCCACGUGUAGCGGUGAAAUGCGUAGGGAUGUGGAGGAACACCAGUGGCGAAGGCGACUCUCUGGUCUGUAACUGACGCUGAGGAGCGAAAGCGUGGGGAGCGAACAGGAUUAGAUACCCCCGUAGUCCCUGUCUCUUAUAC